rnacentral:tRNA from 1 species
GGCCCCGGGGUGUCAGCACGUGUGGUUGCAAACCUCAAGAAGCAGAGUAUUUCUGCCGGGCUU